rnacentral:rRNA from 1 species
UAAAAUUGAGAGGCUCAACCUCUUCGAGCCGUUGAAACUGGUUUUCUUGAGUGAGCGAGAAGUAUGCGGAAUGCGUGGUGUAGCGGUGAAAUGCAUAGAUAUCACGCAGAACUCCGAUUGCGAAGGCAGCAUACCGGCGCCCAACUGACGCUGAAGCACGAAAGCGUGGGUAUCGAACAGGAUUAGAUACCCUGGUAGUCCACGCAGUAAACGAUGAAUACUAGCUGUCCGGGGCGAAUGAGCCCUGGGUGGCACAGCGAAAGCGUUAAGUAUUCCACCUGGGGAGUACGCCGGCAACGGUGAAACUCAAAGGAAUUGACGGGGGCCCGCACAAGCGGAGGAACAUGUGGUUUAAUUCGAUGAUACGCGAGGAACCUUACCCGGGCUCAAACGACACAGGAACGUACCUGAAAGGGUUCGGCUCUACGGAGCCUGUGUCGAGGUGCUGCAUGGUUGUCGUCAGCUCGUGCCGUGAGGUGUCGGCUUAAGUGCCAUAACGAGCGCAACCCCCAUCGACAGUUGCUAACAGGUCAGGCUGAGGACUCUGUCGAGACUGCCGGCGCAAGCUGCGAGGAAGGCGGGGAUGACGUCAAAUCAGCACGGCCCUUACGUCCGGGGCGACACACGUGUUACAAUGGCAGGUACAGCGGGAUGCCACGGGGCGACCCGGCGCUGAACCCGAAAACCUGUCUCAGUUCGGAUUGGAGUCUGCAACCCGACUCCAUGAAGCUGGAUUCGCUAGUAAUCGCGCAUCAGCCACGGCGCGGUGAAUACGUUCCCGGGCCUUGUACACACCGCCCGUCAAGCCAUGGAAGCCGGGGGUACCUGAAGUGCGUGACCGCGAGGAGCGCCCUAGGGUAAAACCGGUGACUGGGGCUAAGUCGUAACAAGGUAACCGUAA